CGAGCGGUAGAGAGAAGCUUGCUUCUCUUGAGAGCGGCGGACGGGUGAGUAAUGCCUAGGAAUCUGCCUGGUAGUGGGGGAUAACGUCCGGAAACGGACGCUAAUACCGCAUACGUCCUACGGGAGAAAGCAGGGGACCUUCGGGCCUUGCGCUAUCAGAUGAGCCUAGGUCGGAUUAGCUAGUUGGUGAGGUAAUGGCUCACCAAGGCGACGAUCCGUAACUGGUCUGAGAGGAUGAUCAGUCACACUGGAACUGAGACACGGUCCAGACUCNNACGGGAGGCAGCAGUGGGGAAUAUUGGACAAUGGGCGAAAGCCUGAUCCAGCCAUGCCGCGNGUGUGAAGAAGGUCUUCGGAUUGUAAAGCACUUUAAGUUGGGAGGAAGGGUACUUACCUAAUACGUGAGUAUUUUGACGUUACCGACAGAAUAAGCACCGGCUAACUCUGUGCCAGCAGCCGCGGUAAUACAGAGGGUGCAAGCGUUAAUCGGAAUUACUGGGCGUAAAGCGCGCGUAGUGGUUCGUUAAGUUGGAUGUGAAAUCCCCGGGCUCAACCUGGGAACUGCAUCCAAA
rnacentral:rRNA from 1 species